AACGAACGCUGGCGGCGUGCCUAACACAUGCAAGUCGAGCGAGAAAGUCCGCAAGGAUGAGUAAAGCGGCGCACGGGUGCGUAACACGUGGGUAAUCUUCCUUGGAGCUCGGAAUAACUCCCCGAAAGGGGUGCUAAUGCCGGAUAAGACCACGGGAUCCCUGGAUCCUGAGGGAAAAGGCGGCCUCUGUAUACAAGCUGUCACUCCAAGAUGAGCCCGCGGCCCAUCAGCUAGUUGGCGGGGUAAUGGCCCACCAAGGCUACGACGGGUAGCUGGUCUGAGAGGACGAUCAGCCACACUGGAACUGAGACACGGUCCAGACUCCUACGGGAGGCAGCAGUGGGGAAUCUUGCGCAAUGGGCGAAAGCCUGACGCAGCAACGCCGCGUGUGUGAUGAAGGUCUUCGGAUCGUAAAGCACUGUCGGGAGGGACGAAUAAGGUGGCGGCUAACAUCCGUCGCUGAUGACGGUACCUCCAAAGGAAGCACCGGCUAACUCUGU
rnacentral:rRNA from 1 species